rnacentral:rRNA from 1 species
UACAGAGGUCUCAAGCGUUUGUUCGGAUUCAUUGGGCGUAAAGGGUGCGUAGGUGGCGCCGUAAGUCAGGUGUGAAAUUUCGGAGCUUAACUCCGAAACUGCAUUUGAUACUGCGGUGCUUGAGGACUGGAGAGGAGACUGGAAUUCACGGUGUAGCAGUGAAAUGCGUAGAUAUCGUGAGGAAGACCAGUGGCGAAGGCGGGUCUCUGGACAGUUCCUGACACUGAGGCACGAAGGCCAGGGGGAGCAAAACGGG